GACUUUAUAACUCAGUUGGUUAGAGUAUCACGUUAACAUGCGUGUCAACGGUUAUACCGUGAAAGUCCCCGGUUCGAGCCCGGGUAAAGUCA